AAAUUGAAGAGUUUGAUCAUGGCUCAGAUUGAACGCUGGCGGCAGGCCUAACACAUGCAAGUCGAACGGUAACAGGAAGCAGCUUGCUGCUUUGCUGACGAGUGGCGGACGGGUGAGUAAUGUCUGGGAAACUGCCUGAUGGAGGGGGAUAACUACUGGAAACGGUGGCUAAUACCGCAUAACGUCGCAAGACCAAAGAGGGGGACCUUCGGGCCUCUUGCCAUCAGAUGUGCCCAGAUGGGAUUAGCUUGUUGGUGAGGUAACGGCUCACCAAGGCGACGAUCCCUAGCUGGUCUGAGAGGAUGACCAGCCACACUGGAACUGAGACACGGUCCAGACUCCUACGGGAGGCAGCAGUGGGGAAUAUUGCACAAUGGGCGCAAGCCUGAUG
rnacentral:rRNA from 2 species